rnacentral:rRNA from 1 species
AGCGAACGCUGGCGGCAGGCUUAACACAUGCAAGUCGAGCGGGCAUCUUCGGAUGUCAGCGGCAGACGGGUGCGCAACCCGUGGGAACGUACCCUUCGGUUCGGCACAUCUCUGGGAAACUGGAGCUAAUACCGGAUACGCCCUUAUGGGGAAAGGUCGACUGCCGAAGGAUCGGCCCGCGUCUGAUUAGCUGGUUGGUGGGGGAACGGCCUACCAAGGCGACGAUUAGUAGCUGGUCGUGGAAGAGGAUCAGCCACACUGGGGCUGAGACACGGCCCAGACUCGUACGGAAGGGAGCGGUAGGGAAUAUUGGGCAAUGGGCGCAAGCCUGAUCCAGCCAUGCAGCGUGAGUGAUGAAGGCGUUAGGGUUGUAAAGCUCUUUUGUCCGGGACGAUAAUGACGGUACCGGAAGAAUAAGCCCCGGCUAACUUCGUG